GACGAACGCUGGCGGCGUGCUUAACACAUGCAAGUCUAACGCAAAGCCCCUGCUGUUGUGGGUAGCUCAAGUGGCGAACGGAUUAGUAACACGUGAGUAACCUGCCCUUUACGGGGUGAUAACUGCAGGAAACUGGGGCUAAUACCGGAUAGGAGCUCCUGCUGCGUGGUGGGGGUUGGAAAGUGACGGCGGUGGGGGAUGGACUCGCGUGUUAUCAGCUUGUUGGUGGGGUAGUGGCUUACAAAGGCGUUGACUGGUAGCCGGCGUGAGAGGGUGACCGGCGCCACUGGGAGUGAGAUACGCCGCCGACACCUCCGGGAGGGAGAAGUGGGGAAUAUUGUAGACUGGGCGGAAGACUGAUGCAGAAACGCCGCGUGCGGGCUGACGGGCUUCGGGGUGUAAAACGUUUUCGCAGGUGACGAAGAGUGAGUGACGGUAAUGGGUAAAGAAGCACCGGCUAAAUACGUG
rnacentral:rRNA from 1 species